CUCUGUGUGUGGAGUAAAGGUGGUCUAGUGUUUUUUUUCCUCUGGUUGCACAUGUGACAUGCUGGUAAAAAUUUGGUCAAACUGAUUUAAGUUUGCCUGCAUUAAAGCCCCCGGCCACAAGGAACGCCACUCCAGGGUGAGCAUUUUCUUGUUUGCUUAUGGCCUUAUAGAGUUGGUUGAGUGCGGUCUUAGUGCCAGCAUUGGUCUGUGGUGGUAAAUAGACGGCUACGAAUAAUAUAGAUAGUGUGGUCUACAGCUUAUCAUAAGGUACUCUACUGCAGGCGAGCAAUACCUCAAGACCUCUUUAAUAUUAGACAUCGCACACCAGCUGUUAUUGACAAAAAGACACAACCCCACCCCUCGUCUUAGUAGCUUCUCUGUUCUGCCGGCGCAUUGAAAAUCCCUCUAUAUUAUCCGUGUCGUCGUUCAGCCACGACUUGGUGAAACAUAAUGUAUUACAGUUCUUAAUGUCCGGUUGGUAGGAUAAUUGUAAUCGUAGGUCAUCGAUUUUAUUUUACAAUAUGCGUGUUAGCAAGUAGAAUGGAUGGCAGUGGGAGUUCACUCGCUGGCCUAUGGAUUCUCAAAAGGCAGCCCAAUCCACGUCCUCUUUUCCUCUGUCUUUUCUUCACCAAAUAACGGGGAUUUGGGCCUGUUCCCAGGAGAGCAGUAUAUCUUUCUCGUUGGACUCGUUAAAGGAGAAAUCUUCUUCCAGUUCGUGGUGAGUAAUCCCAGUUCUGAUGUCCAGAAGUUAUUUUCGGUCAUAAGAGACGGUAGCAGCAACAUUGUGUACAAAAUAAGUACAAAAAAUGAACAAAAUAGUACUAUUUUGCACAGUAUUCUACAAGAGCACAGACACACCGGUCUCUACAUUGCAGAUGAGCUGAAGGCAGUCAUCAAUGACCUUGGACCACAGAAGGCACUGGUGACAAUGCUGCGAACAUGAAGGCGGCUUGGUCUAAAGUGGAAGAGUCCUACCCUCACAUCACACCCAUUGGCUGUGCUGCUCAUGCAUUGAAUCUGCUCCUCAAGGACAUCAUGGCACUGAAAACAAUGGAUACACUCUACAAGAGAGCCAAGGAAAUGGUUAGGUAUCUGAAGGGUCAUCAAGUUAUAGCAGCAAUCUACCUCACCAAGCAACGUGAGAAGAAUAAGAGCACCACAUUGAAGCUGCCCAGCAACACCCGUUGGGGUGGUUUUGUCAUCAUGUUUGACGGUCUCCUGGAGGGGAAGGAGUCUCUCCAAGAAAUGGCCAUAUCACAGUCUGCCGAUAUGGACAGCCCCAUCAAGAGGACCCUCCUGAAUGAUGUAUUUUGGGAGAGAGUGAUGCACAGCCUUUGGCACGGAAAAAACUCAGCUGGGAGAGUAAAAGUAUCCCGUUCAAUGGUGUUCCGUUUCAAGUUGUUGGCACAAAGACGUAUGAAUGCCACCAGGGCAAAGACAGACAGACAAAAGCCAAAGAGAAAUAUGCUGCUGAAAGAGACAAGAAGGAACUUGAAGACCAUACCUUUCUACAGAAACGGAAACUGGUACAAAAUACCAAAAAAGUGGACUGCAAGGCUAUAAUAAACAUCGCCCACAUUAUUCGCUUUCCUGAUUUUAAGAUUGAGGAAAGUACAGUGUGCUCUAAAAAGGAGGCCUCCCAAACUCUGAAGGCAGCACUAAGUGAAACACCCAGCUCCGUGAAGGCAGAGGUUGUCUACUGCGUCAGGUUCCCCUCCCUCUCUGAGCACAGCUCACAUGCAGUUGUUGGCGAGGCAGCUCAUGUUAGGGAAGCUGUAGAUGCCAGGCUGAGAGAGAAGAUUGAGCAGCUGACUCUGUCUGGUGUGAGAAAGAUGACUGAAAUGAAGUGUCAUCUGAACACCUUUGUAGUGGAAGAGCUUUUCCAUGGAGAGCAGCCCCUCCACCUACUCGCAGGCGCUAUUACCCCACUGACAGUGACAUAAGAAAUGUCAUGUUUAAGACCAAGCGGGCCACCGGAGACUCCAACAUUGACCGUCCAUACGAAGGUCCAUCUGGAAGAGGAAAGAAGAGGUCCUCUAGGAAGCUGUUGCGGUUACGGAGGCAAUGUGCAGGAUAUCUUAAAGAGAUCACAGAACUCACUUAUCAUCUCCAAGAGGAACAGUACGUGACUGACCUGUCUUCACAGCUCAGAAGUGUGCUGCUGGAUAUGAAGGCCCAUGUUCCACAGGAUAAAGACCUUCCACUGACCUUUUCUCCAAGGAAGAGAAAAGCUGAGAUGGACAUGGACCUCAUUCCAACCAAGAGUGCAUCACACCCUUUCAUAGAUGGGUUAGAACAGCAUACAGAGGACAUAGUGAGUGUGGAUACCUUGUUGGCAUUGAGCCUAGGGCUGAGGACCGAGUGUGUGGGUCCUUCCACAAAUUGAGUAUAUUUUGGGUAGUGUAACUUUUAUUUCAACUAAUAUUAGCAUUCUGUCAACACAACUUGAUAAGGGGGGGGGGUCAAGAGGGGAGAGCAUUCUUAGUUUUGAAUGUUGUUCUGGAGGCAGCGCUGCGGAGUGCUCACUAGCUGGCACAGUCAUAAAAUCUGAUUUUAAACCUAAUUGUUAACCACACUGCUAACCCUCAUUUCUAACCUUAAAUUAGCUUUUUGAUCUUAACUUGUGUUUGUAUGAUUUCUGACAACAUACAGUGUGUUCGUUAAGUUCAGACACCUUUCCCUUUUUCCACAUUUUGUUACAUUACAACCUAAUUCUAAAAUGGAUUCAUUUGUUAUUUUCCUCAUUAAUCUACACACAAUACCCCAUGACGACAUCACAAUACCCCAUGACGACAUCACAAUACCCCAUGACGACAUCACAAUACCCCAUGACGACAUCACAAUACCCCAUGACGACAUCAAAAUACCCCAUGAUGACAUCACAAUACCCCAUGAUGACUAAGCAAAAGCAGGUCUAGAAAUGUUAGCAAUUAUUUUAAUUUUGUUAAUAAAAAUAAAAUAUUACAUUUACAUAAGUAUUCAGACCCUUUACUCAGUACUUUGUUGAAGCACCUUUGGCAGCGAUUACAGCAGACUUCUUGGGUAUGACGUUACAAGCUUGGCACACC
ensembl:lncRNA